rnacentral:rRNA from 1 species
GGUACCGUCAGCACACAGUGGUAUUAUCACCAUGUGAAUUCUUCCCACUUGACAGAGCUUUACGACCCGAAAGCCUUCAUCACUCACGCGGCGUUGCUGCGUCAGGGUUUCCCCCAUUGCGCAAAAUUCCUCA